UACGUAGGGGGCUAGCGUUGUCCGGAAUCAUUGGGCGUAAAGCGCGUGUAGGCGGUCCGGUAAGUCCGCUGUGAAAGUCGGGGGGCUCAACCCUCGAAAGCCGGUGGAAACUGUCGGGCUAGAGUACGGAAGAGGCGAGUGGAAUUCCUGGUGUAGCGGUGAAAUGCGCAGAUAUCAGGAGGAACACCAAUUGCGAAGGCAGCUCGCUGGGACGUUACUGACGCUGAGACGCGAAAGCGUGGGGAGCAAACAGG
rnacentral:rRNA from 1 species